CAAAAUUAUAGGGCAUGUCCGUGGCAGUAUUUGCUAGUAUUCUUCCAGAAAUCAAACAGAUAACAACUUGUAAUUUAAUUCCAAGCAUCAGUUAUUUUCAAUUUUUACCUUUAUUUUGUUCAUAUCCAACUAAUAACAAACAAAAUCACAUAAAUACAGUAUGCAGGGAUCAAUUUACCCAAUUUAUAGGCAUUUAGGGGCGAGAGCCACCUGGAGCCAGUGGGGGUAACUGCUCCAACUGGAUUUUGGACCUGGGUAUUUCACCGAUUGCACAUGAGGGACAAGGAGAAAACCAUAAACAACCGAAUAAAAAAUUUAUGAGAAAUAUUGCGGAGAAAUUCACUUUUUUCUAGAGGAAGAUCGCCAUCAAGAAACAACAAUUUUAGGGGGAAAAAAUCUAGGGAGUUGAGUUGAAAUUAAAUCAUUCACAACAAUCAGAUGGAGUGCGAUUUCAACAUAUAAAGCUACCUUUGGAGUUCGGUGACGAAGAAGUUGAGUAAAAAUCAUGCAACACAAGAUACCACAGGUCUCCCUCUUUCGGGUUUGAAACAGGUCUUUAUUGUUGGAUAUGCAUGGCUUUUAAUUUGGGCUUUGCAAGAUUUUAUUCCCUAAAAGAAAAGAGGAAACCAUAGAAUGUAGUUCUAAUCCAUUCUUCUAAUGGGCCUAAAGUAUGUAAGUAGUAAGCCCUAAUCAAGAUUGGGAUAAUUAGGCCCACUACUUUAAAAAGGAAACUAAUUAGAAUAAUAUACUUAAAACAUAAAUUAUGUCUUUAGUCAC
rnacentral:lncRNA from 1 species